rnacentral:tRNA from 2 species
GGAGAGGUGACCGAGCGGUCGAAGGUGCACGACUGGAAAUCGUGUGUAGGGUAACCCCCUACCGAGGGUUCGAAUCCCUCUCUCUCCGCCA